GUGGGCGUAGCUCAGCCUGGUCCAGAGCCCCGGAUUGUGGUUCCGGUUGUCGUGGGUUCAAAUCCCAUCGCCCACCCCA
rnacentral:tRNA from 1 species